CUCGAUGCUCUCACCCUUAGGGAACGUUGGGAGUGGCUGGAGGGCUAGAGAGGCCGGAAGUGCAGCGAGCCCGGGGCCGCGCUGGCCGCGCCGGCGGUGGGACGCCUCGAUCUCCCUCCAGUCUUCCCAAUGCUCAGGGCCUAGGAGGUGAGUCCUCGGGGUGCUGCGACCACAGGACUGGGGCUAGAGGUGCGGCGGGUGGAGAUAGCCUGUGGCGAGUGGCAGCCGCAGAAGCCAAUCAGCCGUUUCAGUGGCUGAGUGAUGGAGGAGAUGGGGCGAGGGAGGGCAUCCAGGUGCGAGCCUUGAGGGGGCAGGGCGGUCGGAGGUCGGGGACAGUGUGGGUCGCACCUGGCAAACGGAAGGCGGAGAACCGUGAGGGCGGGGCGAAUAAAAAAGUAGGGGCUCUGAGGCGCGAGGCAAACGGAAAGAGAGGCUCCGUAAGGGGCGGGGGAGCCGGAGGUGGUGGGUGGAUCGAUGGGGCGGGGCCUUCGAGAUACUGCGCGCAAGGUGUCUGGAGCUGGACCGUAUGGACUCCUGGGAUUUCGGAGUGGGGAUGGCUGUGACUGGGUGUUCCUCCCGGGGUGAUGGGAAUGCCGAUCUCGUACUUGCUGCCGAUGCUACGCCUUCAUUUUCAGACCCCAGAAGGACCUUGCGAUGGACGAAGAGGGAGGCCAGAAGCCGGCUGCCUCACCCACAAGGAAGAAAUUCGUCAUACCACUGGACGAGGAUGAAGUCCCUCCUCCUGGGGCCAAGCCCUUAUUCAAAUGCACACGGAGCCUGCCCACCGUGGAGACCCCACCCCAGCCG
rnacentral:lncRNA from 1 species